AUUGAACGCUGGCGGCAUGCCUUACACAUGCAAGUCGAACGGUAACGCGGGGCAACCUGGCGACGAGUGGCGAACGGGUGAGUAAUGCAUCGGAACGUGCCCAGUAGCGGGGGAUAGCCCGGCGAAAGCCGGAUUAAUACCGCAUACGACCUACGGGUGAAAGCGGGGGACCGUAAGGCCUCGCGCUAUUGGAGCGGCCGAUGUCAGAUUAGGUUGUUGGUGGGUAAAAGCCUACCAAGCCGACGAUCUGUAGCUGGUCUGAGAGGACGACCGGCCACACUGGGACUGAGAGACGGCCCAGACUCCGACGGGAGGCAGCAGUGGGGAAUUUUGGACAAUGGGGGCAACCCUGAUCCAGCCAUGCCGCGUGCGGGAAGAAGGCCUUCGGGUUGUAAACCGCUUUUGUCAGGGAAGAAACACUCUGGGCUAAUACCCCGGGGUAAUGACGGUACCUGAAGAAUAAGCACCGGCUAACUACGUGCCAGCCGCCGCAGUAAUAC
rnacentral:rRNA from 1 species